rnacentral:lncRNA from 10 species
ACUGUCUCUACACUUUCCAUUGAGAUUGUCAUUGACAGAGUGACAUACCUGGGAACCGCACCAGUUCCCAGAACCAUAAUUCUAAAUUCUGCCAGACCAUCCUGCAGUCUCUAAAUUCCAAUGGACGUUUUGUAAGCAACGUGAUGGCUGCAGUCCAGCAUCCAUUGUGGACCAUGAGGCAAUCUUGAGAAUGGAAACCAUACAAUACAAUAGUCAAAGAGGAAAGGUUGGAUCGAUCAGUGAAGUUUCACAGAAGUUGUGACAUUUGGGUUGGAUCUUGAAAGAUAAUGGGAGCUUUGAAGGUGAAUGAAAAAAGAAGUGGAAGAACAUUCCUGGUAGAUGGAACAGCAUAUGCCAAAGCACAGAGAUUCUCUGCUGAAGCCAAGCAUGAUCCAAAGGCAAAAACUUUCUCAUAGUCCACAGUCAAUAUGGCUACUACAGGAUACAAUGAAAACUCUUAGGGACAGUGAUUGUUCUUCCAAGACCCAUCUGCUGACGCUGAUGUGAAGAGGCAUUUCGUAUACCUAACCUGACGAACAUCGAACAUCGUAAUUUAGCCUAGCCUAUUUUAAACAUGCUCAGAAUACUUACAUUAGCCUACAAUUCGGUAAAAAUCCUCUAACAUAGAGCCUAUUUUAUGAUAAAGUGUUAAAUAUCUCAUGUAAUUUAUGGAAUAUUGUACUGAAAGUGAAAAACAGAAUGGUUGCAUGGGUACCAUCAUAAAGUAGAAAAAUCAUACUUCAAACCAUCUGCAACCAUCUGUAGUCUCGAGCACUCAUCAUAGGACUGUUUGUACUCUAUGACACUCAUCCCAAGCUAGUAUGAUUACUUGUUUGUGAAUGGACUUUUCAAAAGUAUCUCCAUAACUUAUUCUUUGAAUGCCCAGCACCCAACCUAGGCUCAGGGACACUGGGCUUUAAGUAAUGUUUACCAAUGAAUGAAUGAAUGACCAAAGGCCAAAUAAUUGAUUCAAAAGACUCUUUAUAUAAAAGCACCAUGGAAAAGUGUUGUUACCAUGAUUGUUUUCUAUAAGUCAAUUUUAUGUAAAAUAAUAAUUUCCUCCAAUAUAACACAGGGAGGAUUCCCUUUAGACAAUAGCCAUGCAUGUCAUAGAUUUUUCUUUCUUGCCAGACUCCAAAGACAUCUAGUCACUUCUAUUGGCACUGAUUGGUCUAUUAAGGAUGUCUCAAGUGGAUGGGUGUCCUUAAAAUAAUGUUUUCCUCUCAGCUAGUUGGGAGGCUGAGGUGGGAGGAUCACUUGAGCCCAGGGAGAUUGAGGCUGCAGUGAACUGUGAUCGUGCCACUGCACUCCAGCCUGGGUGACAGAAUGAGAUCUUCUCUC